rnacentral:misc_RNA from 1 species
GGAGCGGGCUUGCUCGCGAAGGCGGCAUGUCAGUCAGCAUCAAUGUCGACUGACAUGCCGCCUUCGCGAGCAAGCCCGCUCC